AGUGAACGCUGGCGGUAGGCCUAACACAUGCAAGUCGAACGGCAGCACAGUAAGAGCUUGCUCUUACGGGUGGCGAGUGGCGGACGGGUGAGGAAUACAUCGGAAUCUACUUUUUCGUGGGGGCUAACGUAGGGAAACUUACGCUAAUACCGCAUACGACCUACCGGUGAAAGCAGGGGAUCUUCGGACCUUGCGCGAUUGAAUGAGCCGAUGUCGGAUUAGCUAGUUGGCGGGGUAAAGGCCCACCAAGGCGACGAUCCGUAGCUGGUCUGAGAGGAUGAUAGGCCACACUGGAACUGAGACACGGUCCCGACGCCUACGGGAGGCAGCAGUGGGGAAGAUUGGACAAUGGGCGAAAGCCUGAUCCAGCCAUACCGCGUGGGUGAAGAAGGCCUUCGGGUUGUAAAGCCCUUUUGUUGGGAAAGAAAAGCAGCAGGUUAAUACCCCGCUGUUCUGACGGUACCCAAAGAAUAAGCACCGGCUAACUUCGUG
rnacentral:rRNA from 1 species